UCGUCAAGGGGUGGGCUGGCCUCAUUGCAACCUCAUCCUACCUGGCUGGCCUACAGCACUAAGUCUGGCAGGGCUCAGAGAAGGAAGCUUCCAAGUGGACUUCAUGCAUCUGAAAAGGAGCCACUCUGGGAGCCGCCUCGGAGGCAGCUCUUCUCACUACCUAGGUAACAGCGCUGUCAUCUAUGGCUCAAAGCCACUCACCAGGGAGUUGCUGCAGACCUGUAUGUAUCCUUAUACAGAGAAACAGAGAGAGGCUACUGAGGACCUAAGCCGGUGCCUCAUGGAUAAGGAAACUCCAUGGAAGUUAGAGCUGCCCUGUAAUUUGCAUCCCCCAUAUCUUAGAAACCAGAAUGAAAGGCCUACAGCAGAGACUGAAGAGAGGAAGGCUCAUCACUUGGACCACCAAAGAAAGGUCUCAAGAUCCCUCUGCUAUGGUUAAAUCUAGUCAAGCAACCCAUCCCGGUGCUACUGUGGAAUUCCUGCAAGAGGCAGAAGGCGGUUCAGAGUCAUCAAAGCCAUUUUUACAAGGUAGACAUAGGACUGGGGGAUUAAAGGCUUUCAUGGCCUCACUUGCCAACCUGCCUCCCCCCCCCCCCCCCCCCCCCCCCCAAGGCUCUGGGUGAGUACCUAUUAACUUCUCUCCACUCUCUAAUCCCAAAUCCAUCUCCACUUUGCAUAUCGACAUGAAAGCCAAUGGCGGUGCUGGCUAAGGUCAGACAACUCCAAGGAAAAGGCCUCAGGGGCAGGCAGAUAGGGAGCCAGGUGCUGGGAAAGGCAAUAGGAGAAACCUCAAGCUGGGCUUUAGUCUACCAGCGACUCCCUCCCCUACUGCUGCCAGUGCCUGAGGCACCAGGGCAGUUUGUAUCUUCUCAAGGUGUAUCCCCAG
ensembl:antisense Uckl1os uridine-cytidine kinase 1-like 1, opposite strand